CAUCCUCCAUUUUCGCAACUAUGGUACAGCCUUCACUAAUCAGGUAAUAACUCUCCGCUCGUAACUCCGAUUGAGCUGAUUCCGGUCCCAUUGGAUAGCUAACGAAUUUCUCUUCGAUUUGCACCUAUGGUUCGCAUUUAUAGCUUCUGAUUCGAAGGAGAAAACUGACCUUGAAGUUGUGUCAGUGAUGCUGAAAGUGUGAAAAGAGGGAUUACGGGUUUGUUCUUGUUGGAGAUGAAGAUUUGAUCAAGAAGGAAGUUUAGUGGAAGCAAGAACACAAUCUCAACCUCCAUUUUAGCAAGGUGAGUCCUUUAGAUAGAACUUGGGUAGGAUUUGGGGAAGAAUGCAUGUCAAGGGUUUAGAUGGAGAUGAACAUAUUGCAUGCUUAAAUGAAUGAUAAAUGUGACAAAUUGAUAAUUGGUAAUUUUCUGUGAUGCAUGCUUGAUUUAAUGCUUAGAUUGUAUUUUAUGUAUGUAUUGUGUCCAUUAGAUCACUACUACAUGUUAGAAUUCGUUGGAAUUAUGUUAGUGAUGCAUGGAAUCAAUUAUGGGGCAAUUGGGACUGUUAUAGAACCCUUAAAAUGCAGAAAAUUGAUUCUGCUUCAGGGUAAUCGGUUACUGGCAUUUGGGUAACCGAUUACUCUGUGUAAAUUUGCGUUUCUGGGCAUUUUUCAUGCCAGUAACCGGUUACUGGCUUCUGAGUAACCGGUUACCCUGGACGCAGAAGGAAAAAUCAGCAAACUUUAGAAGGUCGUAACUUUCGGCUCGGGUAUCGGAAUUACGCAAACUUUAUAUCGUUGGAAAGCUAGCGACGUGUACUUUCUAAUAAAAUUGGUCCCCAAACCAGAAUGUGUGAUUUAAUAAUAUUGGAACCCUACUUAGUGCGCCUCGUCGGGCAAGAUUUUAUGUUACUAACUCCCCCGAGAGCAGUUCCGUUCCGAAUAGAGAACCGAACGCCUCCUUAGUCGUGUGAGACUUGUUUAAAUUAUAUUUGAACAUGUUAAUGCUGUCAAUGAUCAUGGAUGUGUUGAUUCUCAAUAUGCGGAUCAUUAAUUAAUGCAUUAUAUUGAUAUGCUUUAUGAUGAUCAUAUUAUGUUUAUUCGUCCGUUCGAUUGACAUUCGGAGAUGGUUGCUUGUUUGUGGCAUGAUGCUUUGUGUGAUAAUGAUCAUUAAUUCCCAUUGUUUCGGUUAAACAUUCGGGAUUGAUUGUAUUGUGUGAUUGACGCUUGUUAUGCGUGUGGUAUGCUAGAAUCGAAGUGGGCCACUACUAGGUGGUAAGGCACUAUUGUAUAUGGACUAGUUUCCAAAUACCAUUGCGAUGUGCUCGUGAGAGUCUAUGAGGCGUGUCUCACUUGCGGUUAACACAUUGGCGUUCUUGGUAUGAUUAACACACCUGAACUACCGUUGCAGUGUGCUUGUGAGGGUCUGGAGGCAUUUUACUCACUUGCUGUAUACACACUCGCGUGCUCGGUAUGAUGGCGUUAUGCGGCUAAGUAAGCCUACGCAUAACAGGUAAACCAUCUCUAGUGAUGCCAUGUAGGCUACAUCAUUAGGUUCCUACCCGGAUGGGCUCAUGCGUCGAGACGGCGUGUUGCACUUGCUGUUAACACCACGUGCGUACAGAUGGUUAAUGGAACGGUGUCGCCUCUUAGGCAAGGUCAUCUCGCAGCCAAGUAGGCUUGUGCGAACCCAUUUAAUCACUCUUGCAGGGUGCUUGUGCAAGUCUCUUGACAAAUAGGCAUGGGUGAACCCACCGAGGGUGUGCGUGCAGCCUUGGUAGUUUGGUUGUUACCACUUCUGGAUUCCCCGUACAUGGGUAUGGGUCUGCAUACGUGUUUGUUGUACUAUUUGUGUACUUGUGAUACGAUGACUCCUAUGGUGGACGAUUCAUGUAUUUGCUCCGUACUUGUACCGGAUGAGAGGAUAAACCCCGGAUCAAUGGUGGAUUCGGUUUGUGAUGCAUGUACCCUGUAGAGCCGAGUGGACCCAUAGGAUAGGAGGACUCACUGAGAUUUAGUAAUCUCACCCCAAUCAACUUAUAUUUUUUUCAGGUGCAGUUAGUAGCGUUUGGUCAGUAACAGGUUUGGACUGAAGACUUGGAAGUGGUGUUGGCUCGAAGACCUCGUUGGUUUUGACAUUCCGCUGUGCAAGAUCUAUUGAAGACUCAUGUAUUAUGCUUCUUAGUAGAAUUUCAUAUUGUAUUUUAUAUGGAUCUUUCUAUAACUAUAGCUUUUGUAUGUAUUCAAUAUCAAUUUUAACGUUUCAUGCAUAAUAUACUAGUCAGUUAUGUAUGGGGUGUUACAGUUGGUAUCAGAGCAGGUCGAUUCUCGGCCGAGCCAUGAGACAUCACUAGCAAUUCCUUUUCCUCCUCUCAAGUGUGCGUUGCUAGCCUGAUUUUACUGAUAUCUCAUUCAGUUGUUGAACUUGAUCAACUCAUCGACUGAGUGUGAGACAGUAGGAUUACGGCAGAGCCGCCACGAGGACUCGUAAACCUGUAAGUGUUGUGAACCCAAGUAGUUGAAGUGGGACGAGUAAUGGAUUUUUUGGAUGUUGUAAGUGGAUAAUAUUGGAGUCGUCAAGCUUAAGGAGAGCGUUUGACGCGAAGUAGUGAUACCCGAACUGUCAAGAUGUGGAUGGAGACAACUAGAACCCCCAGGAUUUUGACUGAACGAAGUGAAGAUUUCUCUAAGUCUUGGUAAUAGCAAGGGAAAUCCAAAUAGGAAUGAGUAGGAGCCUUGUAAGUGGGAUUCUCCGAAGGUGUUGAGCUGAGAAUUAGUAGGAUUCAGUACUGAUGAUGCUGCUGGUGUUGAGUGCGACUGAUGAGCUGAUAGGACAGAAUAACCUUUGGUAGUGCGGACACAGAAGUCAGACCAUUCUGAUUGCGUUGGUACUAACAGUAAUUGGAUGGGUGAAGUACUAGAUUCUUAAUCAUCUUGGUGCACCUAAGCGAGAGUAGUUUCCUAGUAAGGGUUGGUGGAAUGUACGAGUGUGGUAGCUUACGAUUGGGCGAGGCUUGAAUACCCGGUCGAUAGAAGAGGUUAUGUAUUUCUGUUCUUAUCAUUUUAUAUUUAAGCUCUAGAACUACGCUAGAUGAAAUAUGAAAUGAUGUAGAAGCGUGAAAUGCAGUAACCUGAGUUCUUGUUAGUUGUUGUUCGUCUGACCCCGAGUGAAGCCAUAGAACUACGCUUGGUGUUGGGCGUUCGGGCGAGUAAGAACUAAGAUCUAUCUGGAACGUCAGUAGGAUGAUCGCAGUUGAGUCGAAUGUUAGGAACCAUAGUAUUCCUAUCUGGACUGAAUUAUCCCUGGAAUCUCAUGCAUGCGUGGGACGAGUGGGUACCCGCACUGCAUGGUGACCCGGAGUUGAACUUCAAAUCUUCGUGCUUAGCGUUUUGGAUUUCCGAGUAAGUAAACCUUGGUGUGUAGCACUCUCAGGUUUUAGCAUCCUGAGGAGUGUGAUUCGAAGGACUUGAGGAACGAUGAGCCUAUUGGAAGCCUGUUCAGACACUUGUCGGUUGUGAUAAUAGGAUACUUGUGUGGGUCAUUAUACGCCACUGAGGUAGUUUACCUGGAUACAUGGCCUCGGAGUUAGACCACCAUGUUGGUACUACCAGACGGGUAUGAUGCCACAAUAUCGCUAUCGUGCACAAAUGCGUGAGUCAUCCUUAUUCCGACAUGUGUGGGACAAAGGUGAUCUGAAGCUCAAGGUGGAAUUCUGAUUUGGCACUCGUGAGACACAGAUCCAGACUCUCAUAAGGUAUGUGGGAUAAGGAUCCAUACAUCGCACUCGAUAGUAGAGGAAUAACUAGACAGGCGAUGAUGUGAUGGAUCAAGACCCAAUAUUAUACUUAUGGAGACUCUGAGUGAUCGUGAUCGCGUGAGUUAGUAUCCGAUUGUACCUUGGGGAUGUCCUCGUUUUGUGAAGUGUUAAAUUGGAAAUCUUGCAUGAGUGUCUAGAGUGGGACUCAUGUGCGGUCAUGAUAUCCUGGUCAGCAUGGUGAGUGGCUAUCAUGUACCAUUGGCGACCGGUGAUGGAAUAUGCAAGUUGUAUCUUGGAUCGGCUCGAUGUGUGAUGUGUCCGGUAAGAUAUUGCUAGGUACUCUGAAAGGAGAAGUGUUAAUCUUGGUAAGGCAUGGACAAUUUGGUUUGAGAACUGCUAAGGAGUUUAUAAGAGAGAUGUUCGAAGUGCAAAGUGCAAAGUGCAAUUUCUUGCAUUGUGGCUACACUCAGACCGUUGGAAGCACUGCAAUGAAGGAUGCAGCCGCUGAGGAAGUCAGUUCAGUGUCUGAUUCAGAGGUGGAACAUACGUUAGAUGAUUGUGUGAAUGGAGUGUGGCUAUGGGAGGAUCGUUAUAUCAGUAGGUCACACGAGUUAUCAGAGGUGAUACUACGCUAAGAGAAUGAAGGUGUAUGGUUGGGUAGAAGUUGUGUAGAACUGCUAGAGUUAUCAUGAACUGCAGUAUGUCGUGAAGGAUUCGAUAUACCGGUUGAGCAACAAAGAUUUGUUGGAAUGACAGACAUAACGGUUAUACACUAUGAGAAUCAGUAACGAAGGACGAUUUCUAAGUCAAUGAGCAUUUGGUUCUCAAUGUCCUGAGGAUGAAACGUGUACCUAAGUUGUGGUAGAUGAACUAUAUGGAAUGGCAGAGUAAGUAGAAGCUUGAUUCUGGAAAGUACGCAACUUCAAAGAGUAGUAGCCGAUGAUGGAUAUAUAUAUAAAGUUCUGGCACGUGUUGUAAUUGGACGACUGUAGAUAAGGAAUUAUUGUGUAUUAAUGGGAACUAAGUGAAUUAUGGAUAUAAUAUGACUCAGAGGAUUUCAAGGUGUGUGACUUGUUGGAAUCAGAGUAGCGCAACGGAUCAGGGAAGAAUCAGAUAAGUCUGAGGUAGGAAUGGACGGACUAUUCGCAUGAUCUUAUAUUAGGAUGAAAAUAUCUUCCUAAGGGAAAUUGUCAAAGCAGCGUUUCGUUCGUUCUAGUCUCUUAAGGAUCACCAUAAUCUUGAGAGGUAUUGUUGACGACCGACUUAGAGGAGGCUUCAUGAUUGAUGUGCAAUCGGAUGUUUUCUUGGUCGACGGUCGAGCUUGUGAAUAUCGUGAUCGUUGAAAUGAUGAAGUCAAGUGAAGCAUUUUGCUUGACAAAGAUUUAUCAUGGAUAUGUCUGGUGCACUUAUGAGCGUGCGUGAAGAAUUUGGGCGAAGAUUGUAGGACCGCUGUUAGAGUUCACCUUUUGUCAGUGGAACUGCAAGGGAAAUUGUCGGAUAUUAAGGAUGUAGUUGUGGGAUUCUACUCCCUUGUGGUUUGCAGUGGCAGUGAUGUGGUCUAAGACUGAAUGAAGGAUCGGUUUGGAAGUGAAUCCGGGAUAUCGUCAUUGAAGGAAAGUUGUAAUAAGAUUUCUUGGAAUGGCAGUGUUUUUGGGAACCUAUGGCAAAAGUGGAGAUUCUGGGGCUUAUAUUAGUAAGGAUGAGCUUAGCAGAUACGUGGUAUGAUGAAUAUCCCAACUAGGCAUGGAUUGCCAUCAGUUCCAAGGCUACAGACUCAGUAUGAUGUGUAGAGGUUGGAGACCUCAGAAGAGAUGUGUCAUGAAAGAUCUGGGGUUUUCAAUCGGGGAUGGUAGAGCACAAGUCUAUUAGUAGUAGGUUAUGUUUCCUUAGACGGAACAAGUUUCAAUCAGAGUUGUAAGGUUUAUCCAAAGGAGAAGAUGUGAAGGUGUUUGUUGGCAUGGUGAUCGGAAGGAAUUCGAGGGCGAAUUCUAUUUAAGGGGGGGAGAAUGUAAUACCCCGGUUUGCCGACGCUAGUAAUUAUCAUUUAAUUGGAUAAUUGGAAAUUAGAAUGCACGUCUGGUCCUAUUCCGUAUCAAUGUAAGAAUUUGCUUAUAAGAAGAGCUAGUGGAUUUAGUUAGAAAGGAACCAUGUGGCAUAUUGGUAAAUAUGGCUUAGUUAAAGAGCAAAUUGGUCCAAAGAAAAAGUAUAUCAUUAUAAGGGUUUGUUUGGCUGAAAGGAUCAGAAUUGGAAAAGGAAAUGAGAAGCUUAGAAGCAUGGGAGAGAAGAGGAAGAUUCAUGUUCAUCACCUUCAUCCUCCAUUUUCGCAACUAUGGUACAGCCUUCACUAAUCAGCUUCUGAUUCGAAGGAGAAAACUGACCUUGAAGUUGUGUCAGUGAUGCUGAAAGUGUGAAAAGAGGGAUUACGGGUUUGUUCUUGUUGGAGAUGAAGAUUUGAUCAAGAAGGAAGUUUAGUGGAAGCAAGAACACAAUCUCAACCUCCAUUUUAGCAAGGUGCAGUUAGUAGCGUUUGGUCAGUAACAGGUUUGGACUGAAGACUUGGAAGUGGUGUUGGCUCGAAGACCUCGUUGGUUUUGACAUUCCGCUGUGCAAGAUCUAUUGAAGACUCA